rnacentral:lncRNA from 1 species
AGCAGCAUUAGAGUUUUAAACUCUAAACUGAGCUUUUCCAUGCAAUCAGCAUUAGGGUUUUAAACCCUAAACUGAAUUUUCCUUUCAGCCAGCAUUAGAGUUUUAAACUCUAAACUGAGCUUUUCCAUGCAAUCAGCAUUAGGGUUUUAAACCCUAAACUGAAAUUUCCUUUCGAGCCAGCAUUAGAGGUUUUAAACUCUAAACUGAGCUUUUCCAUGCAAUCAGCAUUAGGGUUUUAAACCCUAAACUGAAUUUUCCUUCUAGUCAGCAUUAGGGUUUUACCCUAAACUGAACUUUUUCCUUUCAGCCAGCAUUAGAGUU